GAGGCAGGUCGAGUGGCCGCCUUUUCCGGAAAAGCCGGAAAGGGAGGAAAGUCCGAGCCCAGAGGGCAGGCGCAUCCCGAUAACUUCGGGACUCCCGGACUUCUAAUCCGGGAAGGAUAAGAGCCACAGAGACGUAGUCCUGAACCAGUUACGGUUCAGGGGUGAAACGUGGCAAUCUCUGCGCGGGGUAAGGCCAAAUAACCCCGUGGCUGGCCCGGCCAAUGGGUGGGUAGGCCGCAUGAAUCCCGGUGUAAGCCGGGAACAAGAUAAAUGGCCACAUAAAACAGAACUCGGCUUAUGAACCUGCCUCCUGC
rnacentral:RNase_P_RNA from 3 species